rnacentral:rRNA from 1 species
UACGUAGGGGGCAAGCGUUGUCCGGAAUCAUUGGGCGUAAAGAGCGUGUAGGCGGUCCGGUAAGUCGGCUGUGAAAGUCCAGGGCUCAACCCUGGGAUGCCGGUCGAUACUGCCGGACUAGAGUUCGGAAGAGGCGAGUGGAAUUCCCGGUGUAGCGGUGAAAUGCGCAGAUAUCGGGAAGAACACCCGUGGCGAAGGCGGCUCUCUGGGACGGUACUGACGCUGAGACGCAAAAGCGUGGGGAGCGAACAGG